AUGGAGUUAUCCACAUCAUCAACAAAUAUAUGGAGUAACAAUAUAUGGAGUAUGGAUUACACUUCACAAGGACUACAAACAUAUGGAUCACAAGCCUCUCCACACAAGCAACUAGCCUCUCCACACAAAGCCUCUGAUCAUAAGCAACUAGCCUCUCCACACAAAGCCUCUGAUCACAAGCAACUAGCCUCUCCACACAAAGCCUCUGAUCACAAGCAACUAGCCUCUCCACACAAAGCCUCUGAUCACAAGCAACUAGCCUCUCCACACAAAGCCUCUGAUCACAAGCAACUAGCCUCUCUUCAGUGUUCAUCUUGUUCCAGAUUCUCUAAGGCAUUGUAA
rnacentral:rRNA from 1 species